UAAUUUUUGUAUUUCAUGGGCUUUUAUUUCUUUCUCUCGGUGUUUUUUUAUUUGCUCUUCUUUUUCUUUGCAUUAUAUUGGGUGUUUCUUCCAAAACCUUAAAACUAAGGGAAAGGACGUGAAAGAGAGAAUUGUGCAGGGGAGAGCACCAAAUGCUCAGUCUGUGAUGAGCGAGAUCGGUGAAUGAGAGACACCGAGAGAAUGAGUUAUUGGGAAUCAGAAAAUGAACGCUGGAACGGGAUAACAAUAUACAUGAAAUUCGAAUCUAGGGUUGCCGAAAAAGGGGAAAUCGAACGAGAGCUUGGAAUCUGUCACGCUUCAGAAAAACGUGCACAGUGGAGUCCACGUGGCAGGCGCAGGGCGAGCCACCUCAGCCCGCACAUGGGCGACAGCAGCGCCUGGCAUCCACUGACAGAUGCCAGCUGUCGCACGCCAAGCUGAUCAGAGCGCAGUGGGAACGUGCGUUCGGCGUGGUGGAGUCCAGGUGUUCGCUCGGGAGUGGACGACCGUCCGUUGUAGGCUACUGAGGCAUAGUGGAGUGCGCUGGUGGGUGCGGAAGUGCGCUGGCAGGGUGGAAAGCAAAUCUGAGAAUUUCUGAAAUACUCUUCACCCUCUGCACGCACCCCUCUUUCCUUCAUUUCGGAAACACAAAUUCUCUCCUCCUUCUCUCUACACCUGAACCUCUUUCUCUCUCUAAGGAACCACCACUCAAACCUCCUCCGUUCCACACUCCGGCAAGAUUGAAGGACGCUCGGCGUAGGAGUUCCAGAGAGAACGUUCGACUGGUGAAGCUGUGGAUUAACGAGCGCUUGUUAUUGGAAUUUGAGUAGAGAAUCUGUGAACGUUCGUCAUUUCCGGAGGGAGAUGAGCGUUUGGAAGAAGCAUUGAAUGAAGAGAGCCUGGUUGAUGUUGAAGUAAAGAUCGAGCAGUGAGAUCGCUCGGCCAGUAUUGUAUUUAGUUGAAUUGAGUGGUCGUUCGACCAUCUCUUGUUUUCUUUUGAGUUAAUUCGACCGUUCAGUAAUUAUCCUGUGUAAACCGUUCGGUCAGGUUUCUUGUACGUUUAUCUUAAAUUUGUAAAACUCUUAUGUGUGGCGUGCGACUUUUGCACAUUCGUCCGUUAUGUUGGAUUUGUACUCAAGGACGUUCGUCCUUGAGCGUUCGUUCGGGUUUUAUUUUGUUUUUAGUUGGAAAACUGUAUUGAAAUAUUAUUAAAUGUGAUUUUCUGAUUUUAUGGUGUUA